rnacentral:rRNA from 1 species
AUGUCGACGAACGAGAGACCCGCCGCGUCCGUCGACCCCGAUGUCGGGCUCGCCUACUCGCGCGGCCAGCCUGCUCGCGUGGCCCCUCUCCCCCUCCCGCCUCCCCGAGCCCACGCCUCGCUCUUCUCUGCUGAUCCACAGAGGACUCCUUCGCCUACGACGAGAGGGACGUGGUGCUCUACGUGCUCGGCGUGGGGGGCUGCGGCAUGGACACCGUCGAUGACAAGGAGCUCCACCUCGUGCACCACAGGGACGGCCAGUGCCACAUCAAGGUCCCCCGCCCCUUCCCUCCCUCCCCCGAUCCGAUCCCCUCUCGUUUCUGUGUCAAAUGGUUGCUGCGACUUGGAUUCCCAAAUAGUAUCGAUUCGGGCCGCUGGAAUUGAUUUCGAACAAGAAUGGCAGCAACCGGAUGAAAUUUUAAGUAGUACAUAUUGA